UCACACAGUGGUGACAUUGGACCGACCCGGUCUGUUCUAUUUCAUGAGUGGGGUUGCUGAACACUGCGAGAAAGGGCAGAAGAUGGUCGUCAAAGUCUUGGAACCAGCUGGGGUUGAAACCCCACCUGCUGAUGCUGAUCAAUCUGAAAACCAGAAUUCAUCUGAGUCAUUACCACAACACAAGAAUAAUAACAAUAAUACCACUGGUGCACUUGCUGCCAUUUCUUCUACAACUAUUAUCUUCUGCAUCAUGACCUCUCUCCUUGGUCUCUUUUUCUUCUAAAUUAAUGCCACUGGUGAUUAUUUUUGUUGUUGAAAUCUUGUCAAAAAAUUGUGUGGUAGCUAAAGCCCAGGGAGGCCCAAAAGAAUUUGUCAUUGCCAGUUGUUGGGUCUUGACAUCCCCACCCCAACAAGAACAACAUAAAUAUAUGAUUAAUAUUAAUAAUAAAAGCAGGAAAUGAUUAAUUAUAUAUUUGCAUAUCUUGCAAGCUCCUCAUAAAAAUAAAAAUAAAAAUAAAAAACUUAUAGCCUGCUUUAAACGCUAUCUAUCGUACAUGCAUCACAUAUAUACUCGCAUCGCAUACUACUACUAGUCAAAGAGAUAAAACAAUAUAAUAUAAUUGAAGCAUGUUCGAGAUGCAGCAGAAGAGAACAGAACGCCAUUUGGCCAAUCAACCUCUCCCAUCAUCACCCCCAUAACCCACCUCCAACCCAAAAGGGGAAAGCUAGAGAAUUCCAAGAAUAAUUCAAUCCUCCAAAAAUAGCAGUAGUGGGCCCAACUUUUAUUAUUAUUUUUCUCAUGUAUUUCUAAUUUUUAUUCACACAGUUACACAGUUACACAGUUACACAGUUGCACAGUUGCACAGUUGCAGUGAACUGAAAAGACAAGUUUCACAACGGCAUUAGCCAGUUGUCGAGAGUUUUCUAGGGUUACUAUCAUCCUAGGGCUAGAAAGAGACCAGUAGUGUGCGUAGAUGAUGGUGGGGUGUCGACACGUGUUAUGGUGGAGGAUAUUGUUUAUGGGAUGCUAAGCAUAAUAGUAGCCCACCGCCCCAUAUGGGUGUGUAACUUUAAUAUAGAGGGAUAAGGAAUGUGUGUUGAGGGAUGCUUUGAAAUACCUUCCUCUCCAUGUUUCUUGGCAAGUUGCAAUAAUAAUUGCCAUUAUCCCUGACUGACUGACUCACUGACCCCCCAAGCCAAGACCAAACCCUUCCUCUCCUCAUUCCCACACAAAACUUGAAUAUCUUUGAUUGAAUGAAAUACUGCACACUGUUUUCUCCUCCUCUCCUUUUAUCAAAAUAGGGAGAGCUGCUAUUUUAGGCAAUUGAUUUAUAUGAUGUUAGAGGUAUAUAUAAAAAAGAAGAAGAUAUAUAUGCUUGGUCAUGAUCAUGAAUAUUAGCGAUCAAGUGACAUAUGGGGUUGGUUGAGGGCAGAUAUUUUAGAUUUG
rnacentral:lncRNA from 1 species